ensembl:lncRNA
UUUGAAGUCAAAGAAAUACAACUUUAUUUAAGUGUAAACAAAAAAACAAAUGGAAAAUAACUGCAUAGGAAAUGUUUAAAGUCCACAGAGUACAGAGACAGCAGCAGGGGGCCAAAAUAUUAUAGUCUCCUCCGACUUUAGACUGAAGACCUGACACCUGCACUACAACUCAGCAGGAAGUGUGAGUGUGUUUGAAGAGGGGGGGGGGGGGGGAUACAUUCAGUGGAUUUCUGCUCAAAACAUCACGGAUGCAGCGCACAAACACAAAAAUCCACACUGCGCACAACCGGCUGCCGGCAGGACGCGACAACGCGACACAAUACGACAACGCGACACAACGCAAAACCCAACCCGUCUGGACGCGGUGAGCAAAAGGCCCCCGGCUGGUUUACAGGACGUGUCCCACCUCACACUCACACAACGGCUGCUGGGGGACAAUUGGCCCCAAAAGCAGAGGGGGAGUGUUGUGUGUUGUGUGUGUGUGCGUUUUGUGCCAGCAGCUGGUUGGCGAGAGUGAGCAUCCACGUGAUCUCACUGAACCCUUUUCUUCACAAAAUACAUUCUAAAAGGGCCAGUGAACGUCAGGCGGUCAAGUGUUUGUACUUUAAUUUGAAAAAGAAAGUAUAAUUGGCAAAAAACAUUUUUUUUUUAGGAAAUAACCCAAAUUAAUCAGGGAAACCAAUCAAAAUAAUUGUUUCAUAUUUAGAUAAUUUGUUUUAUAAUAUGUAAAUGAGCACACAAAAUAAUUAGACUAGUAAUGGGAGGUCAUCACGUGGGGGGGGGGGGUCACUACGUCAUCACUACGGGACACUUUUCAAUAAGACACCUGCUGAGAACUACCUGAGUUUUUUACUUUUUUUUUUUUUCUCCUUUCUAAAUUUUCGGAUUUUUUUUUGUCUUUUUUCUUUUCAUCUUUCCGUCUCCGGAGUUCACAAUCGUUAAGAGGAGGUCUACGACCUUGAACACGUCACCUGGUGCAGCUUCGUCUCUUAAAGCCUUUGUGAGGCUUCUGAGGCCAGCAAUAAAAAUAAAACAAAAAAAUGUUUAAAAAAAAAAAAAGGAAAGGGGGUUGGAGCGUUCCCGCCACGAGGUCACGACCUCCUGGCGGGUUCGCAGCAGCUCGUCUGCGCUCAGCAGGGAGGAGAAGGAGCAGGUUGAGUCAUAGAAGCACUGACGGCUUUUUUCCGUGUGCGGCCGGCUGAACAGGUUCGUGCUCCGGAGAACAGGAAAUACAAAAUCGGCAGAGGUCAAAAGGUUAAUCCCAUCCAACGCAAUCCGAGCACGCGCACAUCUUUGGGUAAACAUUUUGGCGAAACCGUCCCCGCUGACGGCUUCCAACCCCGAGUUUUUUCUUUUUUCAACACCGGUCUGAGCGACGUCAAUACAAUACAAGGACUUUUUAAAGCAUGCAACAAAAUGAAAAACAAAUUUAAAAAAAAGAAUUUAAAAUACAUUUUCCCCCCCUCUUUAAGAGUGAAGACCUUAGAUCUUAAAGAUAUAAUUCUGCUAUUUUAAUAAAAUAAAAAAAAACAGAUGCAAACAUUUCAGAGUAACACUGAAAAGCCAAAGACAAUCUUACUGGUGGAACUGAACUGAAGUGUUUUCGGCUUCAAAGCAGCUGGUCUGUGGAAUCAAACUGGCUCCCUGUCAACGCGCCGACAGCUGCACCUCAAUAACGCGCCGCGGGGCCGCGGCCCUACGACGCGGCGCCGCCCAAAGGUCACCGAAUGAAAGAUGCGUAACUUGUGCUGAAGUCGGAGGUGGUUCUUGUGCAUUAAGAAGGCGGAUUCGUGAAGUUCUCAUCUCUUUAAAAGAGGCCACCUCCUCUUGCCCUCAGCCCACAGAUGCAGCACAAGUGGAAUUUUUCAUCAUCAUCAUCAUAUGUUUGAGGUAAAAGAUAAAUUGGGCCCAGCCCUCUUAAGUGCAUCAAUCAGAGAGACAGAGCGAGGCAGAGGAGAUGCAUCCUCGGCCGCUCUGAUUUAACAUCUGCACCCGUGGCAAAAUGGUCCAGCGAGGUUCGCCGUCCCUCGCGGCCCCCGACGCUCCGCCCUGUUUGGCACGGAACGCUCACAGAUCAUUUUGGCACAAUGCUUUCAUCUGAAAUAUUUGGUUUCUUGACGAUAAAAAAAAAAGGCAAAGUUCAGCAGACACUUUCCAGUAGAUCCGAUUAAACCGAAAGCCGCUCAGAAAAAACAGAAAUGUGACUUGC